CCUACGGGAGGCAGCAGUGAGGAAUAUUGGUCAAUGGCCGGAAGGCUGAACCAGCCAAGCCGCGUGAAGGACGAAGGUGCCAAGCAUUGUAAACUUCUUUUGUCAGGGAACAAAGUCAGGCUCGAGAGCCUGACCGAGGGUACUUGAAGAAAAAGCAUCGGCUAACUCCGUGCCAGCAGCCGCGGUAAUCCGGAGGAUGCGAGCGUUAUCCGGAUUUAUUGGGUUUAAGGGGUGCGUAGGCGGGCUGUUAAGUCCGUGGUAAAGGCCCGGGGCUCAACCCCGGCGAGCCUUUGAAACUGGCUGUCUUGAGAUGUGGAGAGGUAUGCGGAAUGCGCAGUGUAGCGGUGAAAUGCUUAGAUAUGGCGAAGAACGCCGAUGGCGAAGGCAGCAGACCGGCGGCGAUCUGACGCUGAGGCACGAAAGCGUGGGUAUCGAACAGGAUUAGAUACCCCUGUAGUC
rnacentral:rRNA from 1 species